AGGAGGAACAGCCCCAGUGGCGGGGCAGCUCUGGAAACCUGGAUUCAGCUCCGGCAGGAACUCUGGAGCUCUUCGUCUGCAGGGCCUGGAGGCUCUGGGGCGGG
rnacentral:pre_miRNA from 1 species